rnacentral:lncRNA from 1 species
CUAUAAGGCAGCCUAGAAGAUGGACGUUUGACAGGCCACAAUAGACUGCUCCUUUCCCAGCAAGUUUGAGUUCCCGAAGUGCUGGGUGAGAAAGGUCUUUCCUAAGACCUGCAACUGAGAUUCACUAGAGAUUUUAUCUUCAGAACAACUUGCAUGUGAAGAAAC